rnacentral:lncRNA from 1 species
UCGGCCUACAUCCAAUCCAUAUCUCAUAUAGAGUGAUUGUGACCGACUUACUUCAAAUCUUGUUGAGCAUAUUGCAAGUAGUCUCAAGAGCAUAACCUCAAAGGGAGGCUGGCAGACUUACAAACCUUAUCUUAGAUCGAAUCAUGUUUGAGAAGGUUUGAUUCCUCCUCCCAAGAGGUGUCCAUUCGAGAGAAUCUCAUUCUCUUCUAAAUAGAUCAAAAACUCAUUGAAAAGAUAUUCACCUCCUCAAUC